rnacentral:misc_RNA from 1 species
GAACUGCGAUAAGUAAUGUGAAUUGCAGAAUUCAGUGAAUCAUCGAGUCUUUGAACGCACAUUGCGCCCCCUGGCAUUCCGGGGGGCAUGCCUGUCCGAGCGUCAUUGCUGCCCUUCAAGCCCGGCUUGUGUGUUGGGUCGUCGUCCCCUCCGGGGGACGGGCCCGAAAGGCAGCGGCGGCACCGCGUCCGGUCCUCGAGCGUAUGGGGCUUUGUCACCCGCUCGAUAAGGACCGGCCGGGCGCCAGCCGGCGUCUCCAACCUUUUUUUCUCAGGUUGACCUCGGAUCAGGUAGGAUACCCGCUGAACUUAAGC